rnacentral:lncRNA from 1 species
AGCUCCUUUCAGAUAGAGACAAGGGAUAUUUGACUUCUUAUCUCUGUUGUCCAGCACAAUGUCCAGAACACAACAGAUAUUCCAUAUGCACAGUCACAUGCUAUGUAUGUGUAUUUUCUUUCCAGAAAGGACUAGAGGUCCUAAGCUUUGUUAAUAUCAUGAGCCAGUGCCCACAUGAGCAGGAGAAUUUUAGCACAGUCACCUACACACUCAUUUCGAUGCUCUGACCCCUUAUCCAAGCCAGUCAAAGUGUGGUCUAUGGUUUUGCAUUUUAAAGAGAUCCCUGGGUGAAUCUUGUGCAUGUUACAGGGAAGCACUGUCCUACAUCCUAUGUGACAGGCUCUCAUAGUCACCAUCAUCAUGGGAAUCUUGCACAUGUUACAGGGAAGCACUGUCCUACAUCAUAUGUGACAGGCUCUCAUAGUCACCAUCAUCACGGGAAUCUUGCACAUGUUACAGGGAAGCACUGUCCUACAUCGUAUGUGACAGGCUCUCAUAAUCACCAUCAUCAUGUGAUCUUGUGCAUGUUACAGGGAAGCACUGUUCUACAUCGUAUCUGACAGGCUCUCAUAGUCACCAUCAUCACAGGAAUCUUGUGCAUGUUACAGGGAAGGACUGUCCUACAUCGUAGGUGACAGGCUCUCAUAAUCACCAUCAUCACGGGAAUCUUGUGCAUGUUGCAGGGAAGCACUGUCCUACAUCGUAUGCGACAGGGUCUCAGAGUCACCAUCAUCGUGGGAAUCUUGUGCAUGUUACAGGGAAGCACUGUCCUACAUCAUAUGUGACAGGCUCUCAUAGUCACCAUCAUCACGGGAAGCUGCAUUUAGAGCAUUUAACUGUAUGGGCUCUGAAAUCAGAUGACUUAGGUUUGGGCUUGCCUCUACUUCUUACUAAGCAGAGAACUUUGGGGCAUGAUACUUAAUUUUACUAGGCUCAGUUUUAUCAUGUGUAAAUUGGAGGCAAGGGGAAAUUAUAGCAUUUUGCAUAGAAUAUUGUUUUAAGUAUGAA